rnacentral:tRNA from 1 species
GAGAGGGUACAAUGCUAGAAGCUGCUAACCUCAAGUAACUGGAAUUAAACAACUCCAGCCCUCUC